UACAGAGGGUGCGAGCGUUGUCCGGAAUCACUGGGCGUAAAGGGCGCGUAGGUGGCGCGACAAGUCAGUGGUGAAAGCUCGACGCUCAACGUCGAGUCGGCCACUGAUACUGUUGGGCUGGAGCACUGUAGAGGCUAAUGGAAUUCCGGGUGUAGCGGUGGAAUGCGUAGAGAUCCGGAAGAACACCGGUGGCGAAGGCGGUUAGCUGGGCAGUUGCUGACACUGAGGCGCGACAGCGUGGGGAGCAACAGG
rnacentral:rRNA from 1 species